UACGUAGGUGGCGAGCGUUAUCCGGAAUUAUUGGGCGUAAAGCGCGCGCAGGCGGUUCCUUAAGUCUGAUGUGAAAGCCCACGGCUCAACCGUGGAGGGUCAUUGGAAACUGGGGAACUUGAGUGCAGAAGAGAAGAGCGGAAUUCCACGUGUAGCGGUGAAAUGCGUAGAGAUGUGGAGGAACACCAGUGGCGAAGGCGGCUCUCUGGGACGGUACUGACGCUGAGACGCGAAAGCGUGGGGAGCAAACAGG
rnacentral:rRNA from 1 species